rnacentral:rRNA from 1 species
GACGAACGCUGGCGGCGUGCUUAACACAUGCAAGUCGAACGGAAAGGCCCUGCUUUUGUGGGGUGCUCGAGUGGCGAACGGGUGAGUAACACGUGAGUAACCUGCCCUUGACUUUGGGAUAACUUCAGGAAACUGGGGCUAAUACCGGAUAGGAGCUCCUGCUGCAUGGUGGGGGUUGGAAAGUUUCGGCGGUUGGGGAUGGAUUCGCGGCUUAUCAGCUUGUUGGUGGGGUAGUGGCUUACCAAGGCUUUGACGGGUAGCCGGCCUGAGAGGGUGACCGGCCACAUUGGGACUGAGAUACGGCCCAGACGCCUACGGGAGGCAGCAGUGGGGAAUAUUGCACAAUGGGCGGAAGCCUGAUGCAGCAACGCCGCGUGCGGGAUGACGGCCUUCGGGUUGUAAACCGCUUUCGCCUGUGACGAAGCGUGAGUGACGGUAAUGGGUAAAGAAGCACCGGCUAACUACGUG